GGUUGUGGCUCAGUGGUAUAGUGUUUGCCUAGCAUGCAUGAAGCACUGGGUUUGAUCCCCCACACCA
rnacentral:tRNA from 1 species